rnacentral:rRNA from 1 species
UACGGCGGGUGCGAGCGUUGUCCGGAAUCACUGGGCGUAAAGGGCGCGUAGGCGGCGCGGGCAGUCAACGGUGAAAGCUUGGGGCUCAACCCCGAGUCGGCCGUCGAUACUCCCGUGCUUGAGCACUGUAGAGGCAGGCGGAAUUCCGGGUGUAGCGGUGGAAUGCGUAGAGAUCCGGAAGAACACCGGUGGCGAAGGCGGCCUGCUGGGCAGUUUAGCUGACACUGAGGCGCGACAGCGUGGGGAGCAAACAGG